rnacentral:misc_RNA from 1 species
CUGAAACUUCGUUUAGACUGAGGAUAUGAAGAGUGAUUUGGUUCUGUUUAGGGUUUUCAAGUGUUGAAUUGGGCUUUGAGCAUCACACUUGAGCUGAGAGAAGUUGGUAUUUUGGGCUACUUCAUAUUAAAUUAAUCAAAGUUUUGUAAGAGUUAUAUUCUAGUUAGUACUUGAAAACUCUGUAUAUUUAUUUUAGAGGGGCAGUUAAUUUUGUUUUAAUUGAAACAUUUUCAUUGAAGCAUAAACACAUCUUCGACUCAAAAAAAAAUAUACAGAGUUUUCAAGUAC